GCGAGGAUAAAGCAAGAUGGCGUCUGACGGUGAAGACGUUAUUGCAGUCGUCACAGUUCAGUGUUCUUAAUCUGUGCGUCCAUGUACACAUAUAUGUCCUUUAUUACACUCUAUUAAAUAGAGUCAUAAUAACUGUUUGUAUAUUAGUCUGAGCGCACUUCUCCAGCUAGCUUAGCUUGCUAGUUAGCUUAGCUUGUUAGCUGCUAACAAAGAGAGAUGAAAACACAUCGCUAAGCAGAGAUCAAGUGUGAGUGUAAAGUGUUGUGAUUGUGUGAAAAUGUGCGAAAGAACCAUAGCAGAGUACGAGGAGGAACUUUGUCCAACAAAAGAGGAGAAGGAGCGACAACAUGAAAAACAUCAAGUUGUGUUACACACAACAGACAUCCAUCAGCUGAUUGGACACCAAGACAAAUGUCCCCCUCAUCUGCAGGGGGACAGUUUCACUUCAGAGGAUCCACAGCCCUCACAUUUGAAAGAGGAAGAGCAGGGAGAGUGUGUUGUAGGGCAGGAGGAGGAUGAUGUCAGCAAGUUUCCACUGACUGUUGUCUCUGUGAAGACUGAAGAGCAUGAAGACAAAGCACCUGAGUCCUCACAGCUUCAUCACAGUCCAAACGUCUGUGAAGAACAUCUUCACCCUGAGCAACAGCAGUGGAGCUUCAGGAUGGAGCCACAGCCCUCCCACAUUAAGAAGGAAGAGGAAUACCCACUGAUCCCCCAUUUUAAAGAGGAAGAGGAGGACCCACUGACCCAUUACUUUAAAGAGGAAGCGGUGGACCCACGGAGCCCUCACAUUAAAGAGGAAGAGGAGGAACACAGCAUCAGUCAGGAGGGAGAGCAUCUUGAAGGAUUGGAGGAGGUUGAUGUCACCAAGAUGCCAGUGACUGGUGUUCCUGUGAAGAGUGAAGAUGAUGAGGUCAAAGGUGAAAGUGAGGAGAAGAGAGAGGCGGAGCCUCCAAGCAGCAGCUCAACUCAACACAUGACAACAGAAGCUGAUGGAGACCACUGUGGAGGAUCACAAGCAGACAAGCUCUUAGCUCCACUAUCAGAUAGUGAGGACACAACGUCACACUCUCCUGACACUGAUGAUGAACACUCUAAAGAUGAUGCAACAUGUCACACUGACAACACUCACUUCACAUGUUCUCACUGUCACAAAACUUUUAAAUACCAUAGUUAUUUGAAAGUACACAUGAGAACACACACUGGAGAAAAAACGUUUUCAUGUUCAUUCUGCGGUAAAGAUUUUACUCAUAGGCACGAUUUGAAAAUACACAUGAGAAUACACACUGGAGAAAAACCUUUUUCCUGCUCAGAAUGUGGUAAAAGUUUUGUAACAAAUCAAAGUUUAAAAGCACACAUGGGAACACACACUGGAGAAAAACCUUUUUCAUGUUCAAUCUGUGGUAAAGGUUUAACUCAUAGGCAACAUUUAAAAGUACACAUGACAAUACACACUGGAGAAAAACCUUUUUCCUGCUCAAAAUGUAGUAAAAGUUUUGUAACAAAUCAAAGUUUAAAAGCACACAUGGGAACACACACUGGAGAAAAACCUUUUUCAUGUUCAAUCUGCGGUAAAGGGUUAACUCAUAGGCAACAUUUGAAAGUACACAUGAGAAUACACACUGGAGAAAAACCUUUUUCCUGCUCAGAAUGUGGUAAAAGUUUUAUAAUAAAUCAAAGUUUAAAAGUACACAUGAGAACACACACUGGAGAAAAACCUUUUUCAUGUUCAAUCUGUGGUAAAGAGUUUACACAUAGGCCACAUUUGAAAGUACACAUGAGAACACACACUGGAGAAAAACCUUUUUCAUGUUCAAUCUGCGGUAAAGAUUUUACUCAAAGAGAGCAUUUCAAAACACACAUGAAAACACACACUGGAGAAAAACCUUUUUCAUGUUCAAUCUGCUGUAAAGAUUUUACUCGAAGGGACUAUUUCAAAACACACAUGAGUACACACACUGGAGAAAAACCUUAUACAUGUUCAGUAUGUUGUAAAAGUUUUGUACAAAGUCCGCAUUUGAAAAGACACAUGAGUACACACACUGGAGAAAAACCUUAUACAUGUUCAGUAUGUGGUAAAGGUUUUGUACAAAGUCCGCAUUUGAAAAGACACAUGAGAACACACACUGGAGAGAAAGUGUUGAGUUGCAGUGUGUGUGGUGAAAGAUUGUCUUCUAAGUACCAGUGUAAGAAACACAAGUGUGCUGGUGAGAACAGCAGCAGCAAAUGAAGAUGCAGGAUUUGAAAUAAACUGUCUAAACUUUUACUUUGACCAUCUAACAUCAUCAGCACAUAGAUUCUAACAUUUAUAGAUUAGAUAUUGUAGAUUUUUGAUGUGUUCAUACCUUUGCUUUUGAGUACACAUAAAUCCCUCUUAGUUCAUAUUUACUGGUUCACAUGUGAAACAUCUUCUGGACCACUUCUGGAAGCAUAUUAUUAUUUACUUCAUACUUUAUUUGAGCAGUUUUGUUUUAUACAAUU